rnacentral:rRNA from 1 species
AGUGAACGCUGGCGGUAGGCCUAACACAUGCAAGUCGAACGGCAGCACAGUAAGAGCUUGCUCUUACGGGUGGCGAGUGGCGGACGGGUGAGGAAUACAUCGGAAUCUACUUUUUCGUGGGGGAUAACGUAGGGAAACUUACGCUAAUACCGCAUACGACCUACGGGUGAAAGCAGGGGAUCUUCGGACCUUUCGCGAUUGAAUGAGCCGAUGUCGGAUUAGCUAGUUGGCGGGGUAAAGGCCCACCAAGGCGACGAUCCGUAGCUGGUCUGAGAGGAUGAUCAGCCACACUGGAACUGAGACACGGUCCAGACUCCUACGGGAGGCAGCAGUGGGGAAUAUUGGACAAAGGGCGCAAGCCUGAUCCAGCCAUACCGCGUGAGUGAAGAAGGCCUUCGGGUUGUAAAGCCCUUUUGUUGGGAAAGAAAAGCAGCAGGUUAAUACCCCGCUGUUCUGACGGUACCCAAAGAAUAAGCACCGGCUAACUUCGUG